rnacentral:rRNA from 1 species
GGCGAACGGGUGAGUAAUGCAUCGGAACGUGCCCAGUCGUGGGGGAUAACGCAGCGAAAGCUGUGCUAAUACCGCAUACGAUCUAUGGAUGAAAGCGGGGGACCUUCGGGCCUCGCGCGAUUGGAGCGGCCGAUGUUAGAUUAGGUAGUUGGUGGGGUAAAGGCUCACCAAGCCAACGAUCUAUAGCUGGUCUGAGAGGACGACCAGCCACACUGGAACUGAGACACGGUCCAGACUCCUACGGGAGGCAGCAGUGGGGAAUUUUGGACAAUGGGCGAAAGCCUGAUCCAGCAAUACCGCGUGCAGGAAGAAGGCCCUCGGGUUGUAAACUGCUUUUAUACGGAACGAAACGGCGCGCUCUAAUAAAGUGCGCUAAUGACGGUACCGUAAGAAUAAGCACCGGCUAACUACGUGCCAGCAGCCGCGGUAAUACGGAUGGUGCGAGCGUUAAUCGGAAUUACUGGGCGUAAAGCGCGC